rnacentral:rRNA from 1 species
UGGCUCAGGACGAACGCUGGCGGCGUGCUUAACACAUGCAAGUCGAACGGAAAGGCCCUGCUUUUGUGGGGUGCUCGAGUGGCGAACGGGUGAGUAACACGUGAGUAACCUGCCCUUGACUUUGGGAUAACUUCAGGAAACUGGGGCUAAUACCGGAUAGGAGCUCCUGCUGCAUGGUGGGGGUUGGAAAGUUUCGGCGGUUGGGGAUGGACUCGCGGCUUAUCAGCUUGUUGGUGGGGUAGUGGCUUACCAAGGCUUUGACGGGUAGCCGGCCUGAGAGGGUGACCGGCCACAUUGGGACUGAGAUACGGCCCAGACUCCUACGGGAGGCAGCAGUGGGGAAUAUUGCACAAUGGGCGGAAGCCUGAUGCAGCAACGCCGCGUGCGGGAUGACGGCCUUCGGGUUGUAAACCGCUUUCGCCUGUGACGAAGCGUGAGUGACGGUAAUGGGUAAAGAAGCACCGGCUAACUACGUGCCAGCAGCCGCGGUGAUACGUAGGGUGCGAGCGUUGUCCGGAUUUAUUGGGCGUAAAGGGCUCGUAGGUGGUUGAUCGCGUCGGAAGUGUAAUCUUGGGGCUUAACCCUGAGCGUG